GCAGUGGUGGUUCAGCGGUAGGAUUCUUGCCUUCCACGCGGGAGACCUGGGUUAAAUUCUCAGCCAGUGCA
rnacentral:tRNA from 1 species